AACGUAGGAGGCUAGCGUUAUCCGGAUUUACUGGGCGUAAAGCGCAUGCAGGUGGUUUUGCAAGUUGGAUGUGAAAGCUCCCGGCUUAACUGGGAGAGGUCGUUCAAAACUGCAAGACUUGAGAGUGGUAGAGGGAGGUGGAAUUCCGGGUGUAGUGGUGAAAUGCGUAGAUAUCCGGAGGAACACCAGUGGCGAAAGCGGCCUCCUGGACCAUGUCUGACACUCAGAUGCGAAAGCUAAGGUAGCAAACGGG
rnacentral:rRNA from 1 species